UACGGUAGGAUGCAAGCGUUUGUCCGGAAUUAUUGGGCGUAAAGAGCGCGCAGGCGGUAUGACAAGUCAGAUGUGAAAGAGGCCGGCUUAACCGGCAAGGGUCAUUUGAAACUGUCAGACUAGAGUGCAGCAGAGGAUAGUGGAAUUCCCGGUGUAGUGGUGAAAUGCGUAGAUAUCGGGAGGAACACCAGUGGCGAAGGCGACUAUCUGGGCUGCAACUGACGCUGAGGCGCGAAGGCUAGGGUAGCAAACAGG
rnacentral:rRNA from 1 species